rnacentral:rRNA from 1 species
CACGUAGGGGGCAAGCGUUGUCCGGAUUUAUUGGGCGUAAAGAGCUCGUAGGCGGCUCAGUAAGUCAGGUGUGAAACCUCCAGGCUCAACCUGGAGACGCCACCUGAUACUGCUGUGGCUAGAGUCCGGUAGGGGAGCGUGGAAUUCCUGGUGUAGCGGUGAAAUGCGCAGAUAUCAGGAGGAACACCGGUGGCGAAGGCGGGUCUCUGGGCCGAUACUGACGCUGGAGGAGCGAAAGCGUGGGAGCGAACAGG